UAUUCUGCUCAGAUUGAACGCUGGCGGCGUGCUUAACACAUGCAAGUCGAGCGAGAAAGUUCUCUUCGGAGAAUGAGUAGAGCGGCGCACGGGUGAGUAACGCGUGGAUAAUCUACCCUGAAGAUCGGGAUAACAGUUGGAAACGACUGCUAAUACCGGAUAUCCUGCAUAUUUAGCUUUAUGUGGUAAAGGCGGCCUCUAUUUAUAAGCUGCCGCUUUGGGAUGAGUCCGCGUCUCAUUAGCUUGUUGGUGGGGUAAUGGCCUACCAAGGCAACGAUGAGUAGCUGGUCUGAGAGGAUGAUCAGCCACACUGGGACUGAAACACGGCCCAGACUCCUACGGGAGGCAGCAGUGGGGAAUAUUGCGCAAUGGGGGAAACCCUGACGCAGCGACGCCGCGUGCGGGAAGAAGGCCUUCGGGUCGUAAACCGCUGUCAGGAGGGAAGAAACUGUUAGGGUAUAAUACGCCCUUUCACUGACGGUACCUCCAAAGGAAGCACCGGCUAACUCCGUGCCAGCAGCCGCGGUAAUACGGAGGGUGCGAGCGUUAAUCGGAAUCACUGGGCGUAAAGCGCACGUAGGCGGCGCAUCAAGUCAGGCGUGAAAGCCCUCGGCUCAACCGAGGAAUUGCGCUUGAAACUGGUGUGCUGGAGUCUCGGAGAGGUUGGCGGAAUUCCAGGUGUAGGAGUGAAAUCCGUAGAUAUCUGGAGGAACACCGGUGGCGAAGGCGGCCAACUGGACGAGUACUGACGCUGAGGUGCGAAAGCGUGGGGAGCAAACAGGAUUAGAUACCCUGGUAGUCCACGCUGUAAACGAUGGAUAUUAGGUGUCGGGGGUUACCUUCGGUGCCGCAGUUAACGCGUUAAAUUCCCGCCUGGGAGA
rnacentral:rRNA from 1 species